rnacentral:sRNA from 1 species
AAAAACGCCCCGACUUCCUGCCCCGCCAGAGCCAGGAAGCGGGAGCCGGGACCCAGGGCCCGGGAUCGCCGAGCCCGACCUCGGGCGCCCCGCCGGUCACCUCCGCGCGGACACCAGCCCUGCAGAGCCCAGGGAGAUGGAAGACUUCGCCCGAGGGGCGGCCUCCCCAGGCCCCUCCCGGCCUGGCCUGGUUCCCGUCAGCAUCAUCGGGGCUGAGGAUGAGGAUUUUGAGAACGAGCUGGAGACAAACUCGGAAGAGCAAAACAGCCAGUUCCAGAGCCUGGAGCAGGUGAAGCGGCGCCCAGCCCACCUCAUGGCCCUCCUGCAGCACGUGGCCCUGCAGUUUGAGCCAGGACCCCUGGUGAGGGCAGGGCUAGGUGGGCACAGGGAGGGGUGGGGCUGGGACAGGCACAGCUUUUAGUGAAUUAAACCAGCGAGCUAGUGCCUGGAGGGUCUGGAAAAGCAGAUCUAGAACACAGAGAGCCAGAUCUAGAAAAAGAGAAUGCUUUAGACAAGAGCCAGAAAGCAUGCCACGUGACCUCAACAGGCUUACAAGUGCCCAGGGUAGAUCUCAGUGCGCAGCGGGCAGGGUACACGUGGCAGGACCCCGCGGAGCCACAGAGAGUCCAGCAGCCUGGCAGAAAUCACAUCCCAUCCCACUCUGUGCCUGUGGCAGCGCCCCCAUCAGCCUGUGGCAGCGCCCUUCCGUGGACUCUAGGGGACCAAAUCCUUCUCUCCAAAGCCUUUUUGGCAGAUGCCAGCACGCAGUCAUUCACGAUUGAUGGUUGGGAAAAAGAAGCUGUUAGCCAUCCCAGGUCUAGGGAGCACAGCAGGCCCUGAUCUGGAAACAAGAAAACCACCACACACAGCUCACAAGGCAGACCACACAAUUGUGGAUCCAGAAGCCUCCGGAUGAGGCAGAAGAUACCUGGGAGAUGUGGAUGGACAACCGUGCCAUCCAGAAACACCCGCAGAGUCUAGAAAACCCAGCAGGUGAUUUAGAAAGGGAGAGGCCACAGUGCUGGCUGGCAGGGGAUCUGUAGACAAGGGUCUCAUCCCAAGAAGACCCCGUCCAGCCCAGCACAGGAUAGGAGGACAGCCUGGGGACAGCCAGGGCACUGCACCAUGUGGACAUGCAUAGUGGACCCCUCCAGAAAACCAGGAAACCGAUAGAGUGGGGAGAAGUGCCCGAGGCAUGCAGAAAGAAGAACAUGUCAGCUGCAAGACCAGAGGCUGGUCAUCCGGACGCCAAACCAUCAGAUAUGCAGAAAAUUAGGAAAUUGCAGUCUUUCCCCCGUCUACAUUCUCUUUCCAGAAGAGUGGUUCCCCCCACAACCACAUGCAUGGAGACUCUGGCCCUCUGAGCAAGGGGGUCCCCUAUUUAAGCCUUGGGGUUUCUAGAACACCAGAUUGUGGACAUCAGCCCAGGGAUCAUGCUGACUACCAUGUUCUUUUACAGAUGUGGAAACUGAGGCCUAGAGAGGGUCAGGGACUUGCCUGAGGUGACCCCGGCGGCCUCUGGGCAUUUUGAGGUUUAUUCUCGCAUAGCUCCCUCACCUCAUCAUCUUGUGGGGAGCCAAUCAGAGAUAGCUGUGGUCCCCUGGGCAGCUUCCUGUUGGCCUGUCUUAGAAUUUUGCUAUAUUUGGGGGGUGUGAAGAGUGGAUAUAGAUGUGUUAAAACUGUUUAAAGUGGAGAAGGAGGACCGGGCCUGGUGGUUCAUGACCGUAGUCCCAACACUUUGGGAGGCUGAGGCAGGAGGAUAGCUUGAGCCUGGGAGGUUGAGGCUGCAGUGAUUGCACCACUGCACUCCAGCCUGGGCGACAAGAGUGAAACCCUGUCUUGAAAAAAAAAAAAAAAAGUGGGGCCGGGCAUGGUGGCUCACACCUAUAACCCCAGAACUUUGGAGGCUGAGGUGGGUAUCUUUGGAGGCUGAGAUGGGUGAGAUCAGGAGUUCGAGACCAGCGUGGCCAACAUGGUAAAACCCCGUCUCUACUAAAAAUAUGAAAAUUGGCCAGGCGCAGUGACUCACGCAUAUAAUCCCAGCACUUUGGGAGGCUGAGGCAGGUGGAUCACCCGACGUCAGGAGUUCAAGACCAGCCCGGCCAACAUGGUGAAAUCCCAUCUCUACUAAAAUACAAAAAUUAGCCAGGCACAGUGGUACACACCUGUAAUUCCAGCUACUCGGGAGGCUGAGGCAGGAGACUCACUUGAACUUGGGAGGUGGUGGUUGCAAUGAGCCGAGAUUGCACCAUUGCACUCCAGCCUAGGCGGAAAAAAAAAAAAA